GCGAGACUGGGCAGCGAUGGGUAUGGAGCAGGGCUGCGGCAGGGGGAGGGCACAAAGGAGCAUGUCAUUGCCCAGUAGAGAAGGUUCUCCUCGGACCCUGGAGGCUCAAGCAACUAUAGGAUCCACCUCACCCGGUUCCCGCCUGCUAGGACAAGUACUGCUGCCGCUCAGCCCGCAGAAUGGAGCCGCAGCUCUUCUAGGUGCCCCCCCCACGCCCACUUCUGUUCCACACACACGCUGCCCGAUCCCACGAUCACCCUGACUCUGAGCAACAAGAUAUCCGAGAUGAAGAACGAUUCAUUUUCUGAGUUGUCCCCUUGAAAGACUUCCAUGAUCAGUGCUGCUGUGGAGGCCAUGUUGAUGUUCGUAGUCCUUGGUGCCUCUGAAUCCACAUCGGUGUCUCAUCCACGCUGCCAGCCAGAGACCACGUGGCUGUCCAUCAUUCCCGGUGCCGCAAGCUGCUGUGGGCAGGAAGAUUCUCUUACAAUAGUACCGAAAAAUGGAUGGAACUGAAGACCAUCAUGUUAAGAGAAAUAAGCCAGACUUGGAAAAGCAGACGUCUCAACUUUCCACAUAAGAAGAAUCGUGUGUGUGCUUGGAGGUGCUGACUAUAGAAGAGAGGCCAAAGUGAAUGGAGGAAAAGGGGAAAGUGCAAGCUAUGAGCCUCCCAGAUUUGGGGGAAAUGCAGUGGUCAGCACAUCGGGAUACCGUGAUGAGCCUCGCCUGAGAACACCAACUUCAUGACCACGGCCGCUCCCUCGCCGGGUGACCAUCUAUCUGCACACGGAUUUCUCCUCUACGUUAAGUAGGAUCACAGGUGUUUGGUUUUAGGGGGUUCUUUAAAUUUAUUUUUGUUUUACGUGUCCGGGCAUUUGCCUGCACGAUCUAUACCACUUACCUGAUACCUCUGGAGGCCAGAAGAGGGUGUCAGAUCCCUUGAAACUAGAGUCACAGGCAGCAGUGAGCAAUCAGGUGGAUAUUGGGAAUCAAACCCAGGUCCUCUGGACGAGCAGCCAGUGCUCUUAACCACUGAGCCAUCUCUGUCACCCCUGGAGUCAUGUUGUUGUUCAGUCACAUUUAUUUAUUUAUUUAUUUAUUUAUUUACUUACUUAUUUAUUUAUCGUGUGCACAUGUGCAUGUGUCUGUGUGUGGGGAUGUCACAGGGCAUGUGUGGAGGUCAGACGACAGACAACCUGCAUCUGUAAGAAUCUUUUUUCUCCUUCCACUAUGUGGGUCCCAGGCAGGUUUGACAGCAGAUGUCUUAACCCACUAAACGUAAGAUCUUCAUCUCACCAGGUCCCAUAGUUAGUCGUUCAUUGUUGCUAUUUGAAGAUAGAGAGGAAAGCAUGGGAUUUACAGACACUUCGACAAAAUAUCUGAGUUAUUUCUAGCAAUGCCCCAGUGGACUAGCAGAGUACAAGAUAAAUCCCCCAAAAGCAUAUAAAAACAAUAGCCACAUCACAUAAUCUGUUCAAAAAUACAAAGAAAAGAGACCCCAUUCACAGCAUCGUGGAAGAAGUGCAUGCUACCCCUAGAAAUACAGAGAAAUAUAGAAAGUUCUAUGACUGGUGAGAGUUGGACCCCAUGUGGAUUUAAAUCUGUUUAAUGAUAGAUGGAAAAAUGAGAACUAUAUUGAGUUUGGCGUACUUUCAAAA
rnacentral:lncRNA from 1 species